UAUAACAUGCCGAAAGGCGUCUCACGAUUCUCGCUCGAGCGGAAAUUACACUCGUCGCGAAAUUAUACCGGUCUUUCGUCUUUCCUCGCGCGAUCGAAUAAAUUCCGAAAUUGCAUUCGCAGUUCAAGAGAGAAGAUCGCGAUUUCGCCGCAAUUAACGCUGCCGAGUCCAUUGUUGUUGUCAUUAGUGUUAAUAUCGUUUCAAGAAUCUCGAAUCUGAUGCAAUUAGCGCGUCGUCCGCGAAGUGGAUUGCGAGGCGUCGCUUUGAACCAGAGGUGUGCCACAUCGUCACUUGCUUGUGAACUUUAGACUCCGAAGUUUCGCCGAUUCAGCAAUUAUCGAACUUCGCCACCACUCCACGGUGGCUCCCAUUCGGUUUUCUGUGCCGCAGCGAGCGAAUUAAAUGACGUAACGUCGAUGCGCUGCGGCAUGUGUUGCACAGUGGUCUGCACUCAGAGAAAAGUUCAUUGUUGUGGUACCUGUCUCAACUAUAAAAGUUUCACAUGUAGAAAAAUAUAUUUAGAGCUACUGAAGAUGCUGUGGUUGUGUGACAACUGUAUAUAUUAUACAUUCAGAUAGCACAAAAUGACCCAGAAUCAUGUGUGGAGAAUGCUGUGAGGAAUGUCGAUAUGUUCAGAGCACAUUCGGGACGUAUCGUAUAAUUUUUCGAAACAAUAACCUUCCGCGCGUCCUUCCGCGUCGAACCGCCAGCAACACAAUAACGGCGCACAUAAAAAUUGCGAAUGGCCGAGCGGCAAUAAUCUCGAUACGCGCGCGUGUGCAAAAUGCGGUGCGCGAUCGUUUUCUCUCUUUUUUUCUUGCGCCGUAUCUGUCUCAUUAAUUUGCAGAUCCAGUGCCGCGCGACGGGAAUAAUCCGCGAUCAAAGCGCGCUUGUUCGUUUCAGUUCGCGCGACAGAAGAAGCGCAAAGAAGACGUUGACAGAUGUUAACAAGGGAUUUGCGGCCUAAGCGAUAUUAUUAGACGGGUAUAUCAAGACUUGCAAAACAUACACUAGAUUCUUUAAUUCUUUUUAUCUAAUUAGGUGCUCAGAUAAAGCAGUCGUAUUAGUCACAGCUCUACCUCGCCUAUUGGUUCCCUAUAUCGGUUAAUUCUUAACUUUUAAUUUUUUAAAUUUAUAUUGUAGUACUUUGCCUAACAGACUUUUUAUUAUUCGAGACCAAUAAAGUUAUUAUUAUUAAAUAUAUAGACUCGUAUUCACAGACCGUUAUCGCCGGCUAUUUGGAUCAAUAUUAUUAUU